ACGAACGCUGGCGGCGUGCUUAACACCUGCAAGUCGAACGGUGAAGCGCCUUCCUUUUUGGUGGGUGUGGAUGAGUGGCGAACGGGUGAGUAACACGUGAGUAACCUGCCCCCUUCUUCUGGAUAACCGCAUGAAAGUGUGGCUAAUACGGGAUAUUCUGGGUCUGUCGCAUGAUGGGUCUGGGAAAGAUAUUGUUUCGGUGGGGGAUGGGCUCGCGGCCUAUCAGCUUGUUGGUGGGGUGAUGGCCUACCAAGGCGGUGACGGGUAGCCGGCCUGAGAGGGUGGACGGUCACACUGGGACUGAGACACGGCGCAGACUCCGACGGGAGGCAGCAGUGGGGAAUAUUGCACAAUGGGCGCAAGCCUGAUGCAGUGACGCCGCGUGAGGGAUGGAGGCCUUCGGGUUGUGAACCCCUUUCGCCAGUGAAGCAGGCCUGCCUCGUUUGUGGGUGGGUUGACGGUAGCUGGAUAAGAAGCGCCGGCUAACUACGUG
rnacentral:rRNA from 1 species